GCGCCUGUGGCGGAAUUGGCAGACGCGCAAGGUUCAGGUCCUUGUGGCCGUAAGGUCGUGGAGGUUCAAGUCCUCUCAGGCGCA
rnacentral:tRNA from 1 species